AUUGAACGCUGGCGGCAUGCUUUACACAUGCAAGUCGAACGGUAACAGGCCUUCGGGUGCUGACGAGUGGCGGACGGGCGAGUAAUGCAUCGGAACGUGCCCUGAGGUUGGCGUUAACGCAGCGAAAGCUGAGCGAAUACCGCAUGUGAUCUGAGGAUGAGAGCGGGGGACCAGGCAGCAAUGUUUGGCCUCGCGCCUUUGGAGCGGCCGAUGUCCGAUUAGGUGGUUGGUGGGGUAAAGGCCUACCAAGCCGACGAUCUGUAGCUGGUCUGAGAGGACGACCGGCCGCACUGGAACUGGGACACGGCCCAGACUACUACGGGAGGCAGCAGUGGGGAAUGUUAGACAGUGGGGGCGAGCCUGAUCCAGCAAUGCCGCGUGCGGGACGAAGGCCUUCGGGUUGUAAUCCGCUUCUGUACGGAAUGAAAAGGCUCUGGCUAAUACCUGGGGUUGAUGACGGUACCGUAAGAAUAAGCACCGGCUAACUACGUG
rnacentral:rRNA from 1 species